AAAAAUGUAGUAAUGCAUGGCUACGUCGUACCGUCGCGUAUCGGUACUUUUGCCAAAAACACCACUACAAAAAUUCACCGUUUAUUGUGAA